AUGAUGGGCUGAUUUUAUAAGAUUUGCAUUGUAUUGCAGGAUUAUGCAAUGACAAUCUAGGAUGCAUGGAUACUUCAUUUAAGGGUGUAGCCAUGUACCAUGUUGUACUUGCCGUUUGAUGUUAUAGUUUUUUAAAAAUUGAUGUGUCAUUGCAUUGUACUCAUGUCUGUAUCAUGGCAAUGCCCUAAGCUUACUUUCUUUUUGGUAACGUAUUUUAUAUUUUCGUAUUAUCUUAGCAUUUACCAAGAUAUUGUGUUUUUUUGUAAUGUGUAAUGUGCAAUUGGUUUUAGUGCGUUUUUGUUGAGUUUGCAGCAUCUAUGUGUUUGUUAAAAUGUCUGGUGGACUAUAAUUUUGUAUUGGCUUUGCGUUUGCAAAAAUUCUUUUAUGAUCAAUUGAACUAGACACCUAAAGGUUUUGAUCUCUUUCUUUUUCUUCUGUUCAAAUAGGAGGCACAGCAAAUGAUACAGUGAGCUCAAUUCGUGUUAGGGUUUGAAUUCUGUUAGUAGAGAGUACUAGACAGGUUUGGCGAUGGAGAAGCAUCGUUGUAAUAUUGGAUCUUGUAGAUAAUAUGGCAACCCAAACUCUCUUUUGAGCAGAAGCAGAAAUUUUUGCUUUAAAACACCUUUUAGUCACUGUAUUCGCAUAUGAGUUUGCAAUUUGGGAGUAUUGAUUAAUUACUGGUCAACUGUAUUGAUAUGUUUCUUAUGGCAUUUUUCUAGAUGAUGCAUUUGUAUUUUAUUUGUAUUUUUUUUUUUUUAAAUUUUUAAGGCUUUGAUAUUGGACUUGUAUAAAAAUGUUUGCUUGCUUUGUAGGGUUUGGUGUUGUUGGCACACAAGAAGCUCAUUGUGGAGAAGCUUGCGGAAGAGGAGGUUGAACAGAAAGUCAAAGGGGAGGCCAAGAAGGAAAAACACUGGGUGGCAGAAAAGGGGUUGUCCGCAUCAAGGGGCAUGUAAAACCUGCGAAUUAUUUGGAUUCACAUGAGAAGUUUUUGAUUGGGUUAUGUAAAAAGGUUGAAUCUUACCAUCCAGCGAUUUAAUCCUUGGGAAUUUAGGUGAUGCAAAUUUAGCCCAUUGUGCUUUUUGGUCCUAAAUUUUUUUUUUUUUUUUUCCUUUAUUUGUGAAGCAGGAUUGAAAUGUUGAGAGCUAAACAGAUCAGGCUCGUACAAGAAGAAGAAAAAAGAAGAAGAAAGAAAUGGAAGAGCAACAAAAAAUUGAAAGGGAUAAAGAGAGAGCAUAGGACGAACCGUGAAAGCACAAAACUUUUGCUUUCUGAAAAGUGUCAAUAUAACAAGAAAAAUCAGCCUAAAGCUCAAGACAAAUAGACCUCUUUCCCACCUUCAUUGAAGCUGCAUCAGAUGAAAUCAUCACCUGAACUAAACAUGCUCACACAUUCACCACAGAAUACAGAGAGUUAGCGGUGGUGGAGGUCAUUGCAGUGGUAGCAGCAUGGUUUGAAAGAGGUUUAAGGUGGAGAACUGUAGAAUUAUGUGUUUAACAAAAAAAAAGUGUAGACGAUAUGGCUCAAAAGAUUUCAUGAAUCUCAAGAAUAAUAACUAUGCCAACAAAGAGAACAGUGCUAUUUGGGCAAGUAUACUGAGAGCUCGUGAUUUGGUUGUAAAUAGUGGAGUUAAAGGUUCAUUGGAAGCUUAUAAUCCCUUUUUUUCUGCUCGCCAACUUGGCUUUGUGCAACUGAUUCCUCUCCCACCUAUUUUCACUGGCAAUGUGCCUUGGCAUGAGAGAGCAACUGUAAAAAUGGAUGAGAUCAAUGUUUUGAACUCCAAAGAUGAAGCUCAAACAGAAUCUUUUAAAUUGAAAUUGUUCUGGAGGUGGUCUGAAUCCUCUAAACCAUUUGAGGAAUGGUGGGACAUUUACUUGUCCUAUUUCAACACUCCUGAAGCACUUCAAGGUUGUUGGAUACCUGGCCCAAGUGUUUAAGGAUCAUUUCAGGAUUUGGCUUCAAUGAAUCUGACAGAAAAAGAUGAAGGAAAAAGAGUGCAAGAAACUGAAGAACAAGGGGAUGAUGAAGACAUAUUUGCCAAGGCUCGUGCUGUACUUGAUAAUCUUGAAACAAGCAUACCUUCAGCAUCAUCAAAUGUGGAUUUCGUCAUGCUGAAUGAGACCUUACUGUGCAUUCGCUCUUAUGUGGUCAAUUCUGUAGAUGAAGUUCUCCUAGAUGAUGUUGCUCAAGGUUGAUUCUAUGAACUUUGUCAAUCCAUACUCCCCUACAUGCAUAAAGAAGAUAGGAUUGAAGGUCCAAUUCUUUCUAUGUUCAUGGACCAAUAUGAGAGCUCUAUCAAAGACCUUUCUCAGAUCAGAAAUAAAAGAAACAUAAUUGAAGCUCUUAAUCAUAUCAUUUCUCACACUCCAAAUCCUAGAGCAGCAUUCAAAAUUCAAGUAGCUGAUGCUUUGCAAGAUUUGACCACUACAUCAAAUAAAUUGAUGCAAGCAGAACAAGAACGAUGCGAGGCUCAAGCCAAAGUCAAUAGAUGUGUUCAGAAAAAGAAUGAGGCUAAAGCAUUUGUGGAUGGACUGCUCCAACAAAAUGAAGAAGUGUCAAGACGUUCUGAGUCUCUUUCUAGAUCUGAAGAAGAAACAAAGAACCUGACUAUUGAAGUAGUUUUUAUUGAAGAGAAAAUUAGAAAUAACUGGUCACUGAUUCGCAGUAUGUUAGAUAAUUUUCAAUUUGAGGAAUAAACUCUUCUUAGUGUGCAUUUGGCUCCAGCUUAAAAAGCCAGCUUAUUUUACCAUUCAGCUUAUUUUUGCUAUCAUUUAUGGGCUCUACUGCACUUUUUUUUUUACUAUUUAUGAGUCCCAUUAUACUGUUUUAGUUAACUUUUAUCUUUAUCUACAGUAAUUUCAGUAAAAAGUUUUCAGUUUCA